ensembl:snRNA U6 U6 spliceosomal RNA
CUCCAUUCAGUAGGAUGUAUACUAAAAUUGGAACAAUAUAGACAAGAUUAGCCUGGCCCCUGGACAAGGUAAAAACAAACAAACAAACAAAAAACCAGCAUAAU